AUGAGGGCUCCAAGUCCACUCUGAGCUCCAGCGGACCACAGAGCCUGGUCAGUAAGUCUGCCCCUGGCAUCUCUGGAUGACUUCUAGCUUGAGGGGCUCCGUGGUCUCAGCGGGGCCUCUCUCCCCGGAUUUAUUUCUAUUUAUUUCCCAAGGAGAGGACUCCAGUAGGGAGACCAUCAGCAGGUCACUAGGACGUCAGGAGCAGUCGUGCAGCUUUGGCGAGCAGGUGGAAUACACUAGGGACCCUGAGUUUUCGCUGGAUCGGUGACAACAUGAUUUGACUAACUGGAUAAUCAAGUUAUUAUUCAAGGUAUUACCUCUUUAUACUUCAAUUUUCUCAUCUAUAGAAGUGGUGGACUAGAUAAUACGUAACAUACACUAACUACUUUCUAUAGUAAAUUGUGUUCUUGUGAACAGCAAGCUAAAGAUAAGAAUUUACAUCUCAUGCAUCUUUGUACCCUAUAAUAGCUAUUAUAGCCAUG
ensembl:lncRNA